AAGUUGUAACAAGGUUUCCGUAGGUGAACCUGCGGAAGGAUCAUUGUCGAAACCUGCCCCCAGAGCAGAACGACCCGCGAACACGUAUUUUGUCCCUCCGACGAGCAAGUCCGUCCCUCGGGGGGAUUCUCUAUCGACGAACCCCGUUCGACGGCGCCUAACGAACCCCGGCGCGAUCCGCGCCAAGGAAUACGUAAACUCUACUCGAGCAGCGAUCCGUCCCGGCGCCGCCCCGUUCGCGGGCGCGGCCGCCGGCGUCGGUGCCGCUCCUCGGUGAAAGAAAACACAAAACGACUCUCGACAACGGAUAUCUCGGCUCUCGCAUCGAUGAAGAACGUAGCUAAAUGCGAUACUUGGUGUGAAUUGCAGAAUCCCGUGAACCAUCGAGUCUUUGAACGCAAGUUGCGCCCGAAGCCAUUAGGCCGAGGGCACGUCUGCCUGGGCGUCACGCAUCGCGUCGCCCCCCCUCGUGCUUCGCGCCGAAGGGGGAGCGGAUACUGGCCUCCCGUGCCCCUCGCGGGCGCGGCUGGCUUAAAACGGAGUCCCCGACGGAGGACGCACGACGAUUGGUGGUUUGUUCAUAACUAGACCCUCCCAUAUACGCGUCGUGCGCGCCGCCGCGUCGGUGCCGGCUCGCGCGACCCUUUGAAUCGCGCCGUCCCUCGGACGGUGCUUCGACCGCGACCCCAGGUCAGGCGGGACU
rnacentral:rRNA from 1 species